GGGUUCGCUGGGAAAACAUGGCGGAGCCGGCUUUCUUUCUGAGGCGCUUCUCUUGUAACUUUGUUGGGUUUGGUGACUGGCCUAGGUUAUUGUAAUUUUGUGCCAAUUAUAAAUUCUGUGAAGGCAGUAUCUUGGCCAUCUACCACCUACCCAGAACCCCACCUCCCCAGCCUGGGACUGUCUUUUCUGCUGACCUCAGCACACUGCCACGGUGAGACUCAGAUUAAGGAGAAGGGCAAGUUGAGGGCGACGCCCGGAGUAAAGAUGGUAUCGUGGGCGCGCGCCCUCGUCGUUCGGCCUCCUCGCGCAGAGCCACGCCUCUUCCGGUACGCUCGACCGGUCAACUGCACGCCGGGAGCCAAGAUGGCGUGCCGCAUCGCGCCGUGGUUCUCGGUAGUGGACUCUGGACCCUCCCCCUUUGUCUAACGUUCCGUCUUCAAGAGGAAGGGCGAGGCGAGGUCUGCACCUGUAGCUGACGUGGAGCCUGAAAGACAGUCUGGCGGCUAGAAUCGCUUAGCUGGUACUUCGCGGGAGCUGUCCCGGAAGCCGUGACCCACGGCUCUUGUGGCAAGGGGCAAGGCAGGCCGGUGCUUCGGAUUCCCGUCGUGGGCGUGUGCAGGAGCGCAGCGCUGGUACUAGGCCGGAUGGGGACGCGAGGGAGGGUCGCAGUACACUCGUUGCCUAGCAGCGUCGCAGGUCACUGGGCGUUCCACGUAGCUAGGACUGUCUGCCUGUAAGCGGGUGGGCCCCGUUAUUUCCAUGAGCUUCAGCUGGGUAGAUGCCACCUUUUUCAGCCACUGGACAUAGAGGAUUCAGUUGAGCAGCACUGGAACCCAUGUUGGAUGAAUGCAUCAUGUGUAACCCUAGAAACAGAUGCAGAAGAGCUGAUCAAGCUAGUAGGCCUCCAAACGAGGACAAGCCCCUGGCUCAGAAUGAGAGAAUGCUGACGUCAAGCCAAAUGCUGUGCCCUUAAACUUGACUACAGAUGUCUCUUCUGGAACCAAUGGAGAGCUGGCUGGACAGAAGGUCAUCUGGAAUGCCAAGGUUACAGUCUGCUCCAGCUCAGUCCUGCAAGACUGCCCUACCUGAAACGCCAGCCUCAAGUGCGGUCCCCAGGCUCCCUGCACUUCGGCCUCGUCAGCUACAAAUCCAGGCACAAUGGUCAGAGGUUUGCAAAAUGUGGUCCUUGGAGCAUCAGCAGUGUCUUUUUCACCCAAGAGCUUGUUGGAAGUGCAAAUGAGACGUGCUGAGAUUCAGGUCUUUGGAGGAAAGGCCAGGAGAAGAUGCCCAGGGCAGAACGGCGGGCACAUCCUACUCUCUUGGGCAGCGUCGGACAACAGCUGACCAGCGAAGCAAAGGCUUCCAGUGUUCCAACAGAGAGAGUGAAGGACAGACACACCUGGCUCCUUUGCCUCUGUUCCCGUUUUCUUGUGAGGCGCACACAGGGCGUGAUGUUCAAGCCUGCAAUGGUCAGGGCUGAAAUCCGGCUCUCGAUGUCCGAAAUCUUAACGUAACAGCAAAACGGGAUCAGCAGGGAGAAAACACAGAAGGUGAGAGUCUUGUUAAAACUAUCAUGGAUUUAUAAAGUACCAGUCUUGAUGGACGCUCAUUCGUUUAUUCAGUGUCUAUGAGCCACUUCUCUCCUUUGUGCUGUAGGGAACCGAUACCUUACAGACCUUUCUUUAAAAGUUUAAAUUUCUAUCCGGUAGCCCUAGACUAGCAUAUCCACACCCUCUUCAAAGUACACCUCAGGAUAGAUGCAAGUCCAGAGCACUGUGAGGAGCAGGGUCACCUACCUUAGCAUGAGGGUCAGAGAGAGUGGUCUGGGAAGGCUGCCAUAGGAGGCAACACUGAAUUGAGUUUUGAAGGGCAAGGGCAAUUUAUAGGCCCUGUGCCCUUCAUCCGUGGCUCUGUCUGAAACUACAGCCCCGGUUCAAGUACAUCUCUCUUGUUG